rnacentral:rRNA from 1 species
GCAAGCCUGAACCAGGGCCAUGCCGCGUGAAGGAUGACAGCGCUAUGCGUUGUAAACUUCUUUUGUUUACAGGAAGAAAUACUUCUACGUGUAGAAGUUUGACGGUACUGUACGAAUAAGCACCGGCUAACUCCGUUUUCAGCAGCCGCGGUAAUACGGAGGGUGCAAGCGUUAUCCGGUUUAUUGGGCCUUUAAAGGGCCACGUAGGCGGCCAAUUAAGUAGUAGUGAACCUGCAGCUUAACUGUAGACUGUUAUUGAUACUGGUUUUCUUGAAUACCGUUGAGGUAGGCGGAAUGGUAAUGUAGCGGUGAAAUGCUUAGAUAUUACACAGAACACUUUGCGAAGGCAGCUUACUAAGCUAUGAUUGACGCUGAGGUACGAAACGUGGGGAGCGAACAGGAUUAGAUACCCUGGUAGUCCACCCGUAAACGAUGAUCACUCGUUGUUGGCAAUACAUCGUCAGCGACUGAGGAAAGCAUUAGUGAUCCACCUGGGGAGUACGCUCGCAAGAGUGAAACUCAAAGGAAUUACGGGGGCCC